GAUGUAGCCAAGUGGAUCAAGGCAGUGGAUUG
rnacentral:tRNA from 1 species